GAUGGAUCCGCGCUGCAUUAGCUAGUUGGUAAGGUAACGGCUUACCAAGGCAACGAUGCAUAGCCGACCUGAGAGGGUGAUCGGCCACACUGGAACUGAGACACGGUCCAGACUCCUACGGGAGGCAGCAGUAGGGAAUCUUCCGCAAUGGGCGAAAGCCUGACGGAGCAACGCCGCGUGAGUGAUGAAGGUCUUCGGAUCGUAAAACUCUGUUAUUAGGGAAGAACAUAUGUGUAAGUAACUGUGCACAUCUUGACGGUACCUAAUCAGAAAGCCACGGCUAACUACGUGCCAGCAGCCGCGGUAAUACGUAGGUGGCAAGCGUUAUCCGGAAUUAUUGGGCGUAAAGCGCGCGUAGGCGGUUUUUUAAGUCUGAUGUGAAAGCCCACGGCUCAACCGUGGAGGGUCAUUGGAAACUGGAAAACUUGAGUGCAGAAGAGGAAAGUGGAAUUCCAUGUGUAGCGGUGAAAUGCGCAGAGAUAUGGAGGAACACCAGUGGCGAAGGCGACUUUCUGGUCUGUAACUGACGCUGAUGUGCGAAAGCGUGGGGAUCAAACAGGAUUAGAUACCCUGGUAGUCCACGCCGUAAACGAUGAGUGCUAAGUGUUAGGGGGUUUCCGCCCCUUAGUGCUGCAGCUAACGCAUUAAGCACUCCGCCUGGGGAGUACGACCGCAAGGUUGAAACUCAAAGGAAUUGACGGGGACCCGCACAAGCGGUGGAGCAUGUGGUUUAAUUCGAAGCAACGCGAAGAACCUUACCAAAUCUUGACAUCCUUUGACAACUCUAGAGAUAGAGCUUUCCCCUUCGGGGGACAAAGUGACAGGUGGUGCAUGGUUGUCGUCAGCUCGUGUCGUGAGAUGUUGGGUUAAGUCCCGCAACGAGCGCAACCCUUAAGCUUAGUUGCCAUCAUUAAGUUGGGCACUCUAAGUUGACUGCCGGUGACAAACCGGAGGAAGGUGGGGAUGACGUCAAAUCAUCAUGCCCCUUAUGAUUUGGGCUACACACGUGCUACAAUGGACAAUACAAAGGGCAGCGAAACCGCGAGGUCAAGCAAAUCCCAUAAAGUUGUUCUCAGUUCGGAUUGUAGUCUGCAACUCGACUACAUGAAGCUGGAAUCGCUAGUAAUCGUAGAUCAGCAUGCUACGGUGAAUACGUUCCCGGGUCUUGUACACACCGCCCGUCACACCACGAGAGUUUGUAACACCCGAAGCCGGUGGAGUAACCUUUUAGGAGCUAGCCGUCGAAGGUGGGACAAAUGAUUGGGGUGAAGUCGUAACAAGGUAGCCGUAUCGGAAGGUGCGGCUGGAUCACCUCCUUU
rnacentral:rRNA from 1 species